UCAAACUCUUAUGUCUAAAUCUCUGCUUCAAACCUAUUCUUGCUUCUAAACUCAAUCUUCUUUCUCGACUUUUUCGGGAGUCACUUUUUUAAACAAAUACUAAUAAAGUAAAUUGCUAGAGAUACCUUUAUUCACCUGCUCGUCUUUGCCAAUUGCAAAGUACCUAAUUGGCGGAUUCCGAUCGAUACAUAGUAUGGUGGAAUCUAAAAUUUUUAUACUUACAGCA